CCUACGGGCGGCAGCAGUCGAGAAUCAUUCACAAUGGGGGAAACCCUGAUGGUGCGACGCCGCGUGGGGGAAUGAAGGUCUUCGGAUUGUAAACCCCUGUCAUGUGGGAGCAAAUUAAAAAGAUAGUACCACAAGAGGAAGAGACGGCUAACUCUGUGCCAGCAGCUGCGGUAAUACAGAGGUCUCAAGCGUUGUUCGGAAGCACUGGGCGUAAAGCGUGCGUAGGCUGUUUCGUAAGUCGUGUGUGAAAGGCGGGGGCUCAACCCGCGGACGGCACAUGAUACUGCGAGACUAGAGUAAUGGAGGGGGAACCGGAAUUCGCGGUGUAGCGGUGAAAUGCGUAGAUAUCGAGAGGAACACUCGUGGCGAAGGCGGGUUCCUGGACAUUAACUGACGCUGAGGCACGAAGGCCAGGGGAGCGAAAGGGAUUAGAUACCCGAGUAGUC
rnacentral:rRNA from 1 species